AGUGACUUAAGUUAAGAAUGACUAUUUAUUUUCAAAAUAAAAAGAAACUUUGUGUUAGUUGCUG
rnacentral:tRNA from 1 species